rnacentral:rRNA from 1 species
CAAUAGCGUAUAUUAAAGUUGUUGCGGUUAAAAAGCUCGUAGUUGGAUUUCUGCCGAGGACGACCGGUCCGCCCUCUGGGUGUGUAUCUGGUUUGGCCUGGGCAUCUUCUUGGAGAACGUAGCUGCACUUGACUGUGUGGUGCGGUGUCCAGGACUUUUACUUUGAGGAAAUUAGAGUGUUUCAAGCAGGCACACGCCUUGAAUACAUUAGCAUGGAAUAAUAACAUAGGAUCUUCGUCCUAUUUUGUUGGUUUCUAGGGCUAAGAUAAUGAUUAAUAGGGAUAAUUGGGGGCAUCUGUAUCAACGCGUCAGAGGUGGAAUUCUUGGAUUGCGUUGCGACAAACUACUGCGAAAGCAUUUGCCAAGGAUGUUUUCAUUGA